GCCAAAAACCUAGCCCAAUCAAAAUGAAUUUUACCUAAUUAACUAAUUUACCUAAAUAAACCAUUCUAAUAUUUUAGUAAAGGCGAUUAAAAAACUUCUUGGAGCCAUAAUAAUAGUACCGCAAGGGAAAGGUGAAAUAUAUAAUGAAAAAUUAUUAAGCAGUAAAAAGUAAAGAUUAUCUCUUGUACCUUUUGCAUCAUGGUUUAACUAGUUUAACCAAGCAAAACGUAUUUAAGUUUGACUUCCCGAAACUAAGUGAGCUACUUUGGGGCAGCUAAAAGAGCAAACCCGUCUCUGUAGCAAAAGAGUGGGGAGACCCCUAAGUAGCGGUGACAGACCUAACGAACUUAGUGAUAGCUGGUUGCUUAAGAAAUGGAUUUAAGUCCAACCUGAAACCUAUAAAACCAGUUCCACAAAAUGAUAAACCGGCUUCAGCGUAAUUCAAAUAAGGUACAGCCUAUUUGAAACAGGAAACAACCUAAACUAAUGGAUAAGAUCAGCCAUAAUUACAACUUAGUGGGCCUAAAAGCAGCCAUCUUUAAAAAUAGCGUCAAAGCUUAAUUGUUUACACGCCCAAUUACUUAAUUCUUACCCUAAUCCUCUACCAUUACUGAGUAAUUCUAUAGCACUAUAGAAAAUUUUAUGUUAAAACUAGUAACAAGAAGAAAAUUCUUCUCUUAAAUGUAAGUGUAUAUCAGAAAGGAUUAACCGCUGAUACUUAACGUAAAUGAAACCAAAGUAAAAACUUAUCAAGAAAACUUUACUCUUACCUACGUUAACCUAACACAAGAACAUUACAAGAAAGAUUAAAAGAAAAAGAAGGAACUCGGCAAAUAUUAACCUCGCCUGUUUACCAAAAACAUCGCCUCUUGAAUUUGUAUAAGAGGUCCAGCCUGCCCAGUGACCAUGUUCAACGGCCGCGGUAUCCUAACCGUGCGAAGGUAGCGUAAUCACUUGUUCUGUAAAUAAGGACUAGUAUGAACGGCACCAUCGAAGGUAAUACUGUCUCCUUUUUCCAAUCAGUGAACCUAAUCUCCCCGUGAAGAAGCGGGGAUUAGACUAUAAGACGAGAAGACCCUAUGGAGCUUUAUACAACAUUGCAAUUGCUUUAUAAUACACAUAUUUCAGAAUAUCUACUUUAUAUUAGCACUUUGACUUUAAGUUUUAGGUUGGGGUGACCACGGAGUAAAAUAUAACCUCCAUGUUGAAAGAACAUUGUUCUAAACCAAGAGCCACGCUUCUAAGUAUCAACACAUUGACAUCAAUUGACCCGAUAUAUUUGAGCAACGAACCAAGUUACCCUAGGGAUAACAGCGCAAUCCACUUCAAGAGCUCCUAUCGACAAGUGG
rnacentral:rRNA from 1 species